AUGCUAUUGCUCACGCAACCAAAUAUGACUUGUUUGUUUGUUUGUCUGUUCAUUACAACAAAAUAAAGAAGUGCUGAAGUCAAAGCCCAGUGCUGCGGGUAUAUGUGGCCGAGCUUUUGCCAUGGAGUCAUAAUGGGUAAAAAUCAUGGCUUUGGGAAGCCCUGCACUGCUUUGAGCUGGCCCUGACCCUGCAGCACCAACAACCCUGAGCUUAGAAAGUGCAGCUGCCAGCUUGGAACAAGCAAAAGCAGCUCACACUCCACUGAGAUGGAAAUUUGUGAAGCUUGGACCAGAAUGUUCUCCCAUCAGAGCAGGAACUGGCCCUUGCUUCCUGCAGGCACACAGAGCCCAUAAAUAUGAAGAGGACAAUUGAAAGGAGUCAAAUGGUGUUCCAGAAGCUUCCAGCCUCCAAAUCACUUUACAAGGCACAGAGUAUUUCCAAAGAUUAUCACGAUUCUAGUAGUUACACCAUUCGUAAUUUUGCCAGCGGGGCACUUUCCGGGCUCGUUUCUUCUGUAACCACACUUACAGCACCCAAGUUCCUCCACUGGCUGCGCCUGCUGCUAACCCCAUGAGCUGCUGUCUCAGUUGGAAUCUCCCACACUGGCCCCAAUGUUCUCAGCUGCAGCAGCGUCUUCCCCAGCUCCCUGAGUCUGCACUCUCCACCCUUGCAUUGGUUAGAUCCGAGGACAGUGAUGAAGACAUCAGAUUUGUUCUUCUCUGGCACACGGAAGCCCUGGCUCAGGAAAAGGUGGUGAAUGAUGCCAGGAGUCCAGCAGACAAGGAGGGGCUGGCUUGAGAAGUCUCGAAGACUUACCACACUCAAGCCCUAAAGGGAAGGCACCCUCACACUUCUGGGUGUCCCUCUGAAAGCUGGUAGGAAAUCAUGGCAUCCACAAGAAAACAGUUCUUAUUGAAAUGAACACAUCUAUCUUGGCAAAACUGUAACAAACUUCAGGCAUGAGUGCGUACAUGGAUCUCACAGUCUCUUCGUUUAGACACCCCCUUGUGCUUCUGGGACAUCCUGGCCAGACUUCUUUCCGUGCACGCAAAGGCAUUUGCUUGCUUACUGAAAUGGAAUUCUACUGAGACCGGGGCACAGUUUGGUUUAUGGCAUCAUGGCUCGAGCUCCUUCUUAGUACUUUUCCUACAAUGACCAUCUUCACGGCCAAUCUCAGUGUGUUUCCAUCUGUUUCUUUGGGAUCAAUGCUCAGAAGUGUAAUCAUGAAAUUGAAUAGAGAUUGUGUCUCAACGUGAUUUUGUUAGGGUGUAAUUCAGGCUGGUAGACUGACUUCUGGAAAGUCUGUCCACAUUCACGGCCAUCCUCCAAUGCCCAUCUUCAGGCUGGGCUGAUGAGCAUCUUUCUGGUUUCCCCACAAGAACCAACAGCUCUCCAGAGCCACCGUUAGCUCACACUCUCUUCCUCACGUGAGCGAGGCCUGAACCUCUGUGGAACACCUGCUCUGGCAGCUCUACGACUGGAGUAAAUAGAGUCCUCUCAGGGCCAGACUCAGCUGUCACAGCCAUGCCCCGAGUUUCGAAAGUGGGUGGCAAUUUCCAUAAAUAUGUCACUUCAAAUACCUGUACUGAAGGAACCCAGCGUCUUAUCUUCCCAGUGAGGAAGCAAAAUGGGGAAUGAGCUAAUCACAAGAAGCGUGAGACAUAGCAAAGAC